GAUGAACGCUAGCGGCAGGCUUAAUACAUGCAAGUCGAGGGGCAGCAGGACUGUAGCAAUACAGUUGCUGGCGACCGGCAAACGGGUGCGGAACACGUACGCAACCUACCCAAAACUGGGGGAUAGCCCGGGGAAACCCGGAUUAAUACCUCGUAACCUUUUUAAGUGGCAUCACUUGAUAAGUAUAGCUCCGGCGGUUUUGGAUGGGCGUGCGCCUGAUUAGGUAGUUGGUGCGGGUAACGGCCCACCAAGCCUGCGAUCAGUAACUGGUGUGAGAGCACGACCAGUCACACGGGAACUGAGACACGGGCCCGACUCCUACGGGAGGCAGCAGUAAGGAAUAUUGGUCAAUGGACGCAAGUCUGAACCAGCCAUGCCGCGUGAAGGAUGAAGGUCCUCUGGAUUGUAAACUUCUUUUAUGGGGGACGAAACCCGGAUAUUCUUAUCCGAUUGACGGUACCUCAGGAAUAAGCACCGGCUAACCCCGUG
rnacentral:rRNA from 1 species